rnacentral:rRNA from 1 species
UACGGGGGGAGCAAGCGUUGUUCGGAUUUACUGGGCGUAAAGGGCGCGUAGGCGGCCACCGCAAGUCGACUGUGAAAUCUCCGGGCUUAACCCGGAAAGGUCAGCCGAUACUGGGGGGCUAGAGUGCAGAAGGGGCAACUGGAAUUCUCGGUGUAGCGGUGAAAUGCGUAGAUAUCGAGAGGAACACCGGAGGCGAAGGCGGGUUGCUGGGCUGACACUGACGCUGAGGCGCGAAAGCUAGGGGAGCGAACGGG